GUAGGUGGCAAGCGUUGUCCGGAAUUAUUGGGCGUAAAGCGCGCGCAGGCGGUCCUUUAAGUCUGAUGUGAAAGCCCACGGCUCAACCGUGGAGGGUCAUUGGAAACUGGGGGACUUGAGUGCAGAAGAGAAGAGUGGAAUUCCACGUGUAGCGGUGAAAUGCGUAGAGAUGUGGAGGAACACCAGUGGCGAAGGCGACUCUUUGGUCUGUAACUGACGCUGAGGCGCGAAAGCGUGGGGAGCAAACAGGGAUUAGAUACCCUGGUAGUCCACGCCGUAAACGAUGAGUGCUAAGUGUUAGAGGGUUUCCGCCCUUUAGUGCUGCAGCAAACGCAUUAAGCACUCCCGCCUGGGAGUACGGCCGCAAGGCUG
rnacentral:rRNA from 1 species